CAAGUGCUCCUGUGCUUUUCUGUAUUUAUUUCCAGAAUUUAUCUUCUAUAAUUUAAUAAUAAUAAUAAUAAUAAUAAUAGAGGUAGAUUACAAUGACUGCCUCAUCAUCUUCUUUCUUUGAAAGCCUUGAACAUUACACUAAGGGGGGUAAUUAAAUUCUGGCCUAAGGGAGGUAAAAUCUCACCGUGUGUAUGCACCUUUAAAGUGCAAUACCACACUAAUAACAAAAUAAAGAUUUAAAAGACGUUGCAACAAGUAUAUAUACAUUGGUCGGCUUAAACAUUUCACCCUGCAGAACAUUGACGCAAUUCUUAUGACAUAUGCAUUAUAAAGAAGAGGGGCACAAUGAACCAGAAGCUAGGACACAGAACAACUUACCAGAUCAUGAUUUACUCCCAUGUGAGAGGAAGAAGAAAAUAAGAUUUAAGCUUGGGAGGGAGAUGGUCAAAUAAAGAUAAAUUAAAGAUUCCUA